AACGAACGCUGGCGGCAGGCUUAACACAUGCAAGUCGAGCGCCCCGCCAGGGGAGCGGCAGACGGGUGAGUAACGCGUGGGAACGUACCUUUUGGUUCGGAACAACUCCGGGAAACUGGAGCUAAUACCGGAUAAGCCCUAACGGGGAAAGAUUUAUCGCCGAAAGAUCGGCCCGCGUCUGAUUAGCUAGUUGGUGAGGUAACGGCUCACCAAGGCGACGAUCAGUAGCUGGUCUGAGAGGAUGAUCAGCCACACUGGGACUGAGACACGGCCCAGACUCCUACGGGAAGCAGCAGUGGGGAAUAUUGGACAAUGGGCGCAAGCCUGAUCCAGCCAUGCCGCGUGAGUGAUGAAGGCCUUAGGGUUGUAAAGCUCUUUUGUCCGGGAAGAUAAUGACUGUACCGGAAGAAUAAGCCCCGGCUAACUUCGUG
rnacentral:rRNA from 1 species